UACGGAGGGAGCUAGCGUUAUUCGGAAUUACUGGGCGUAAAGCGCACGUAGGCGGCUUUGUAAGUUAGAGGUGAAAGCCUGGAGCUCAACUCCAGAACUGCCUUUAAGACUGCAUCGCUUGAAUCCAGGAGAGGUGAGUGGAAUUCCGAGUGUAGAGGUGAAAUUCGUAGAUAUUCGGAAGAACACCAGUGGCGAAGGCGGCUCACUGGACUGGUAUUGACGCUGAGGUGCGAAGCGUGGGGAGCAAACAGG
rnacentral:rRNA from 1 species